rnacentral:rRNA from 1 species
UACGUAGGGGGCGAGCGUUGUCCGGAGUGACUGGGCGUAAAGCGCGCGCAGGCGGUUAGACACGCCGGUCGUGAAAGCCCCCGGCUCAACCGGGGCGGGUCGAUCGGGACGGUCUGACUGGAGGGUGUCAGAGGGGGGUGGAACGCCGCGUGGAGCAGUGAAAUGCGUAGAUAUGCGGCAGAACACCGGAGGCGAAGGCGGCCCCCUGGGGCACAUCUGACGCUGAGGCGCGAAGGCGCGGGGAGCGAACAGG